AGUGAACGCUGGCGGUAGGCCUAACACAUGCAAGUCGAACGGCAGCACAGUAAGAGCUUGCUCUUACGGGUGGCGAGUGGCGGACGGGUGAGGAAUACAUCGGAAUCUACUUUUUCGUGGGGGAUAACGUAGGGAAACUUACGCUAAUACCUCAUACGACCUACGGGUGAAAGCAGGGGAUCUUCGGACCUUGCGCGAUUGAAUGAGCCGAUGUCGGAUUAGCUAGUUGGCGGGGUAAAGGCCCACCAAGGCAACGAUCCGUAGCUGGUCUGAGAGGAUGAUCAGCCACACUGGAACUGAGACACGGUCCAGACUCCUACGGGAGGCAGCAGUGGGGAAUAUUGGACAAUGGGCGAAAGCCUGAUCCAGCCAUACCGCGUGGGUGAAGAAGGCCUUCGGGUUGUAAAGCCCUUUUGUUGGGAAAGAAAAGCAGCAGGUUAAUACCCCGCUGUUCUGACGGUACCCAAAGAAUAAGCACCGGCUAACUUCGUG
rnacentral:rRNA from 1 species